rnacentral:pre_miRNA from 1 species
UAGCUCUCGUUGGAGAAGCAGGGCACGUGCAAGUUUUUGAAUUGCUUCAAUCCUGCACGUGCUCCCCUUCUCCAACAUGGGUUU